rnacentral:sRNA from 1 species
ACAUUGGCUUGGCUAUUGGCUGGUAAAGGUACCUUACCGUCAACUAGAUCAAGGUUACUAAAUGCCUAAAGAAGUAUAAGAUAACACACGAAAGACAGCAAUACAAAGCUUUAGAGUUCUGUGUCAUCUUACUGCUUUGACAGGUUUUUAGCUAACCUUUUUCUGAACUAAGCCAUUGUUUUUAUGGAUAGAAUUGAAAGCGCUUAACU